rnacentral:rRNA from 1 species
UACGUAGGGUCCGAGCGUUGUCCGGAAUUACUUGGCGUAAAGAGCUCGUAGGUGGUUUGUCGCGUUGUCCGUGAAAACUCACAGCUCAACUGUGGGCGUGCGGGCGAUACGGGCAGACUGGAGUACUGCAGGGGAGACUGGAAUUCCUGGUGUAGCGGUGGAAUGCGCAGAUAUCAGGAGGAACACCGGUGGCGAAGGCGGGUCUCUGGGCAGUAACUGACGCUGAGGAGCGAAAGCGUGGGGAGCGAACAGG